rnacentral:rRNA from 1 species
GGACUGAGACACUGCCCAGACUCCUACGGGAGGCUGCAGUCGAGGAUCUUUUGCAAUGGGCGAAAGCCUGACAAAGCGACGCUGCGUGGAGGAUGAAGGCCUUCGGGUCGUAAACUCCUGUCAUUCGGGAACAAUUGUCGGGGGGGUGAAUAAUCUCCCGGCUUGAUGGUACUGGAAGAGGAAGCCACGGCCAACUCUGUGCCAGCAGCCGCGGUAAUACAGAGGUGGCGAGCGUUGUUCGGAUUUACUGGGCGUAAAGGGUGCGUAGGUGGUUCUGUGUGUCCGAUGUGAAAGCCCACCGCCUAACGGUGGAACGGCAUUGGAAACUACGGAGCUUGAGUGCAGGAGGGGAGAGCGGAAUUCUCGGUGUAGCGGUGAAAUGCGUUGAUAUCGGGAGGAACACCGGUGGCGAAGGCGGCUCUCUGGAAUGCAACUGACACUGAGGCACGAAAGCUAGGGGAGCAAACAGGAUUAGAUACCCUGGUAGUCCUAGCUGUAAACGGUGUACACUUGGUGUGGGGAGUAUUGACCCUCUCCGUGCCGGAGCUAACGCGUUAAGUGUACCGCCUGGGGAGUACGGUCGCAAGAUUAAAACUCAAAGAAAUUGACGGGGGCCCGCACAAGCGGAGGAGCAUGUGGCUUAAUUCGAUGCAACGCGAAGAACCUUACCAGGGUUUGACAUGCAGCUGCAAGUCCCGUGAAAGCGGGAUGCCUUCGAGGGUGCUGCACAGGUGCUGCAUGGCUGUCGUCAGUUCGUGCCGUGAGGUGUUAGGUUAAGUCCUGCAACGAACGCAACCCUUGUGUCUAGUUGCGACCACGGUGAUGAAUCGUGAGCACUCUAGACAGACUGCCUGUACAAACAGGAGGAAGGUGGGGAUGACGUCAAGUCAGUAUGGCCUUUAUACCCUGGGCUGCACACGUGCUACAAUGGCCGGUACAGAGGGAAGCAAGACCGCGAGGUGGAGCAAAUCCCCUAAAACCGGCCCCAGUUCAGAUUGAAGGCUGCAACUCGCCUUCAUGAAGUCGGAUUCGCUAGUAACGGCGCAUCAGCUACGGCGCCGUGAAUACGUUCCCGGGCCUUGUACACACCGCCCGUCACAUCAUGAAAGCCGUCUGCACCCGAAGUUACCAAUCUAACCCGCAAGGGGAGUAGGUACCUAAGGUGUGGGUGGUAAUUGGGAUGAAGUCGUAACAAGGUA